rnacentral:rRNA from 1 species
CCUACGGGCGGCAGCAGUGGGGAAUAUUGCACAAUGGGCGCAAGCCUGAUGCAGCCAUGCCGCGUGUGUGAAGAAGGCCUUCGGGUUGUAAAGCACUUUCAGCGGGGAGGAAGGCGUUAAGGUUAAUAACCUUGGCGAUUGACGUUACCCGCAGAAGAAGCACCGGCUAACUCCGUGCCAGCAGCCGCGGUAAUACGGAGGGUGCAAGCGUUAAUCGGAAUUACUGGGCGUAAAGCGCACGCAGGCGGUCUGUCAAGUCGGAUGUGAAAUCCCCGGGCUCAACCUGGGAACUGCAUUCGAAACUGGCAGGCUAGAGGCUUGUAGAGGGGGGUAGAAUUCCAGGUGUAGCGGUGAAAUGCGUAGAGAUCUGGAGGAAUACCGGUGGCGAAGGCGGCCCCCUGGACAAAGACUGACGCACAGGUGCGAAAGCGUGGGGAGCAAACAGGAUUAGAUACCCGUGUAGUC